GCUCAGAAUGAACGUUGGCGGCGUGGAUUAGGCAUGCGAGUCGCGCGAGAAUGUAGCAAUACAGGACAGCGGCGAAAGGGAGAGGACAACACGGGAAUCUGCCUUGGGGACGAGGAUAGCGUCGGGAAACUGACAGUAAUACUCGAUAAUGUUUGCGGACCAAAGGUGUGACUCCGCCCCAAGAUGAGCCCGUGCCCCAUUAGCUAGUUGGCAGGGUAAUGGCCUACCAAGGCUGUGAUGGGUAGCUGGUGUGAGAGCACGACCAGCCUCACUGGCACUGAGACACUGGCCAGACACCUACGGGUGGCUGCAGUCGAGAAUCUUCGGCAAUGGACGAAAGUCUGACCGAGCGACGCCGCGUGCGGGAUGAAGGCCUUCGGGUUGUAAACCGCUGUCGUAGGGAAUCAAAUGCAUUGGGGUACUCCCCUUUGUUUGAGAGAUCCUAGGAGGAAGGAGAGGCUAAGCUCGUGCCAGCAGCCGCGGUAAGACGAGCUCUCCAAACGUUAUUCGGUAUUACUGGGCUUAAAGAGUUCGUAGGCGGCUCUGUAGGUGAGAUGUGAAAGCCCUCGGCUUAACCGAGGAACUGCGUUUCAAACCACAGGGCUUGAGGGAGAUAGGGGUAAGCGGAACAGAUGGUGGAGCGGUGAAAUGCAUUGAUAUCAUCUGGAACACCGGUGGCGAAGGCGGCUUACUGGGUCUUUUCUGACGCUGAGGAACGAAAGCUAGGGUAGCGAACGGGAUUAGAUACCCCGGUAGUCCUAGCCGUAAACGAUGAGCACUAGUCUGAGGGACUCUCACAGUUUCUCGGACGUAGCGAAAGUGU
rnacentral:rRNA from 1 species